GUAUGAUUGAAACUACUGAUGGCUUUUCCUUGUAAUCCUUUGUGAUGAGCUUUUGUGUCAGACACAUCUUAUAAACACCCACAUAAGGUUUUCUGUGAAACAUUUAGGACGAUUCAGAGUUCUGUGAGUCCAUCUCAGGAUUGAUGAUAAUUACUUUUGUAACAAGAUCAUAAAAUAAAACACAAAAGUUAUAUCGGACAUUCCUAUAAUAAACGAUAGCACAUGUUGGACAAUAUUUUAUAGUAACUGAAACUAUUUUGAUACUAAAUAUAAUUUGAAAUUUCAUCUUGAGAUUCUGUGUAUCGUCAGUUUAUAGAUAAACAGAUUUUGCUCAGUUUACAUCCAAGGAACCUACUCUUGCAGAGCACACUACACUUAGUAACUGAAUUUCUAGCCAAAUACUUUUUUAUUAACAUUUUUCCCAAACUGUCUGCUACUCAGUAUUUAGUAGCAUUGCGAGUUCAAAUCGCCAACUAUUAUGUUGCACUAACACUAAAUCUUAAGGAAGAUAGUGUUUAUAUGAGUAGUUUGUAGUGGAAGUGAUCAAAGCGAUGUGUAACUAUAUCUGAGAGUAAUAUACCGCAAGUAACCCAUAAGUAAGUUUACAUUUGUUUUCAUUCUCAUCCAUUCAAAAAGCAAAUAAAGGUAUAUACUUAACUUG